rnacentral:rRNA from 1 species
AAAUUGAAGAGUUUGAUCAUGGCUCAGAUUGAACGCUGGCGGCAGGCCUAACACAUGCAAGUCGAACGGUAACAGGAAGCAGCUUGCUGCUUCGCUGACGAGUGGCGGACGGGUGAGUAAUGUCUGGGAAACUGCCUGAUGGAGGGGGAUAACUACUGGAAACGGUGGCUAAUACCGCAUAACGUCGCAAGACCAAAGAGGGGGACCUUCGGGCCUCUUGCCAUCAGAUGUGCCCAGAUGGGAUUAGCUGGUUGGUGAGGUAACGGCUCACCAAGGCGACGAUCCCUAGCUGGUCUGAGAGGAUGACCAGCCACACUGGAACUGAGACACGGUCCAGACUCCUACGGGAGGCAGCAGUGGGGAAUAUUGCACAAUGGGCGCAAGCCUGAUGCAGCCAUGCCGCGUGUAUGAAGAAGGCCUUCGGGUUGUAAAGUACUUUCAGCGGGGAGGAAGGUGUUGUGGUUAAUAACCGCAGCAAUUGACGUUACCCGCAGAAGAAGCACCGGCUAACUCCGUGCCAGCAGCCGCGGUAAUACGGAGGGUGCAAGCGUUAAUCGGAAUUACUGGGCGUAAAGCGCACGCAGGCGGUCUGUCAAGUCGGAUGUGAAAUCCCCGGGCUCAACCUGGGAACUGCAUUCGAAACUGGCAGGCUUGAGUCUUGUAGAGGGGGGUAGAAUUCCAGGUGUAGCGGUGAAAUGCGUAGAGAUCUGGAGGAAUACCG